UGUAGCUCAGUGGUAGAGCACUUGCCUAGCAUGCAGGAAAGCCUGGGUUCAAUCUCCAGCA
rnacentral:tRNA from 1 species